UCUUUGAGCGGUGGAUCACUCGGCUCGUAUCUCGAUGAAGAACGCGGCGAAACGCGAGAGUUAGUGUGAAUUGCAGGACACACUGAACAUCGAUACUUCGAAUGCACUUUGCGGCUCGGGGUCUUCCUCGAGCCUCGCUCGUYUGAGGGUCGUUAAACGAAAAAUUGUACGACGC
rnacentral:rRNA from 1 species